ensembl:snRNA U6 U6 spliceosomal RNA
GUACUUUUUUCAGCAGCAUAUGUACUAAAAUUGUAAAUACAGAAGAUUAGAAUGCCCUCUGUGCAAGGAUAACAUGCAAAUUUAUGAAGCAUUCCAUAUUUUA